rnacentral:tRNA from 1 species
GCCCGAGUGGCGGAAUAGGCAGACGCAGCGGACUUAAAAUCCGCCGACCUUUGCGGUCGUGCUGGUUCGACUCCAGUCUCGGGCACCA